UACGACUACAUAUCAGGCAUAUCAAUAAGCGGAGGAAAAGAAACUAACUAAGGAUUCCCUUAGUAACGGCGAGUGAAGCGGGAAGAGCUCAAAUUUGAAAUCUUCAAGGUUUUACCUUGACGAAUUGUAGUUUAAAGAAGUGUUUUCUGUUGGAUGUUUUGGUAAAAGUUCUUUGGAAUAGGACAUCAUAGAGGGUGAGAAUCCCGUAUUUGACCAUUACUUCCAGCUGUUGUGAUACACUUUCAAAGAGUCGGAUUGUUUGGGAAUGCAGUCCAAAAUGGGUGGUAAAUUUCAUCUAAAGCUAAAUAUUGGCGAGAGACCGAUAGCGAACAAGUACCGUGAGGGAAAGAUGAAAAGAACUUUGAAAAGAGAGUUAAACAGUACGUGAAAUUGUCAAAAGGGAAGCGUUUGACACCAGUGUUGUUUUCUCGAAAAUCAAUUAAAAAAUGCUUGAUUUUGUGUUGUAUUGACCUUAAAAGCUUUCUUCACUUUUUUCAUGUCUUUUUUAAUGCACUUUUCGUUUAACAAGUCAACAUCAAUUUCUUUUGUUGUAAAAGGGUCAUUGGAAGGUGGCUUUCACUUCGGUGAAAGUGUUUAUAGCCUUUGGCUUCUGCAAUCGGAGAGAUUGAGGUCUGCAGCGUAGAUCCUUCGGGGUUAGAUACAUUUGUGCUAAGUUAUAGUUUUUCAUAGACAACAUGUUGACUAUGAUUAAUCAUGUAGCUUACUCGCUUAUGCUAUUUUACCUACGCUUAGGAUGUUGAUCUCUCACAGUCGAGC
rnacentral:rRNA from 1 species